GGCUCAGAACGAACGCUGGCGGCAGGCUUAACACAUGCAAGUCGAGCGCCCCGCAAGGGGAGCGGCAGACGGGUGAGUAACGCGUGGGAAUCUACCCAUCUCUACGGAACAACUCCGGGAAACUGGAGCUAAUACCGUAUACGUCCUUCGGGAGAAAGAUUUAUCGGAGAUGGAUGAGCCCGCGUUGGAUUAGCUAGUUGGUGGGGUAAUGGCCUACCAAGGCGACGAUCCAUAGCUGGUCUGAGAGGAUGAUCAGCCACACUGGGACUGAGACACGGCCCAGACUCCUACGGGAGGCAGCAGUGGGGAAUAUUGGACAAUGGGCGAAAGCCUGAUCCAGCCAUGCCGCGUGAGUGAUGAAGGCCCUAGGGUUGUAAAGCUCUUUCAACGGUGAAGAUAAU
rnacentral:rRNA from 2 species